AAAAUGACUGGGCAUUUUCUGGAUUGUCACGCACGUGGAACACCUGUUUCCUCUCUCGAUUUUUGGGGUUCGUUUCCUUUUCAUUUGUUUUGUCGUCUUGCACAUUCUUGUACAUCAUGUCAAUCUUUUCCGACAAUGUCUUUGCACGAGAGACAAAAAGAACUGGCCAACAUUUCCUAUUGCAAAAUCUGACGAGAAAACGUUCGCACGUCGCCACCAUCUUUUUACAGCCGAUAAACUUUGGCGGGUUGGUGGGGUACUUUCGCGAAACAAAGUGAUGUGCUUCAACAGUUUUCAUCGUUUCGUCUCGCAAAUGUUCCACAUUGUUUCGUGACAAAAGAUUUUAAAAAUUGGAUUGUCUUUUCGUGUUUCUUUUCCACUAAUCUACGACCGCAAACUCGAAGGGGGAAAAAACUCAAAAAAAGAUAGAUUGACGUCACAUGACGAUCACGACGCUGCCAAUGUUUUUUUUUGUCUCCUGGCCAUGGCCGUUUACCUGGAAAAUCUCGUUAAAAACAUUCGAAAAAAUGUAUUCGUGUUUUGUUUUUCUCGUUUUUCCAGGGUAACAAAAAACGUUAUCUCAUUUCCGAAUAAUUCGUGAUUUCAAAAUGAAUCCCGCAACUUGUUUUCUUGUUCAAAAUUUGGUCGUCCAUCUUUCCCCCCCUACCUCAUCCGUUUCACGCUCGUUCAUUUUGUAUUCAUUCCACAGGGUACCACACAUUCAAGUGUGACCUUCAAAUGGAGCCUAACCAGCAAUCGUACACGAAUGGCGUGCUAGUUAACUUGUGUCGGCAAUCAUUUCUUUUCAACUAUUUUCUGAAUUUUAUUAACUCAGAGUUCCCCCUCGCUUUAACCCAAAAGGGCACGAUAAGAUAACCCACAUUGCGGCUGGAACAUCAUCAACCCUCCCACCGAAACUGAAAAAAAAAAAAAGGUAAUUUUUUUUUUUGGAAUCUCAAUGUUUCUUAAAGGUAAUGGGAGCUUUCUUGUGUUUUGCCUCAUAUUUUUAUACAGCUCGUUAUCAUUCAGUGUAGUAUCCACACACAAAAAACAAGGCCGGGAAGUUCUUUUCUAUUUUUGUGUAAAUCAUUUAAAAUUUUUCUAAAAUUGUGUUUGUUACACUGGAGAUUAAGAGAUCGACUGAAAAAGAUAACGACUGUAUAAAACAAUGGUAAUCAUUUUGAAUUGUUUUGGGUGUGGAGAGUUCUCUAUGCUCCUAGAUGGGAACGUACACAAUGAACUGCAAGGUCCGCCUAAGAUAAUCCAUGGCCUGGAAAACGAAAAUAGAAACAUUUGAUUCCUUCCUAUUUAAAAAAAAAAAAUUAUGACAUGAUAAACUUAACGAUUAUUAUGAUGCUGUUCGGGAUCGUUAAGACGCGAAUCCCUGAAAAAAAUAAAAAAGCCGUUGCAAUGAAAACUGACGAGAAAGAAAUAAAACGUGAUGAGAGAGGGUAGAGAAGUGCUGAAAAGGUGGAUCGAUACUUUGAGAACGGUUGCCUCCGUGUGUCUAUAUUUAGCCUAGCCGGCAGGUAGACGCAGCCGAAAGAACUUGACUCUUUUCUUUUAGGGGAAGAAACAUCCAAUCAAUAAAGAACCACAAUAUUCUCUAUUUUUUAUUCUGAUUUGAUGCUAUUUUUAUUUUUUGAAGGUCACGACGUGUUGUUUUGGUGAAAAACAACAUUUCAAAAUGAUGGUAAUUUCUUCUUUGUGGUUAAAGAAAACAAACCCCUCCUGUUGAUCGCCCGUUUAAAAGAAAAUCAUCAUUCAGGUAGAGAAAUGCAUCUCUGUCGGUUUGCAGGUAAAAAUAUGUAAUUUCAUAAAAGAUUAAUGUUUCUAUUUUUAAACACAUAAAUUGAGUUUGUCCUCAUUUGUGGACUUGAGCUGCUCGUUACUUCACUUGAUUGGGGGAGUUUCAUCGAAUUUCAUAAUUUUCGUGUUGUUUUACCGGUUUUUUAAAAACCUCCAUUUCGCGAUGCAAACAGAAAUUGAAGAAGAAACAGUCGUGUCGAGCAAAACGAUUCAGCCAUCCGUCAGGUUGACAGAAUAAGGGGAGGGCGAUUGAACAGGGGGGAGAAAUGAGAGGCAUUUUUUUUUUUUGUUUCUUUUCGCCAUUUAUGUAUAUGUAAAAACGAAAUUCGGCGUUAUACUAUCUACCUGCUAUAUACCUUUACACGUGUGUGUGUGUUGGUUAUUUUCAGAAUUUCCAAAUUAAGGGUCUUUCUUCAUCACACCUGUUUUUCAGUCUUGUCGAUAGUCAAUCAUUCUCCUUUUUUUAAAUUUUUUAUGCUAACAUGCACAAACAAACCAUGGAGAAAUAAUCGUGAAAAUUCGAACCAAAAAGAGUUGCUAAAAAUAUUCAAACAUUGAUUUUCGUAUUGUGUGAAUGUAGCAAUCUGUUGAUCGCUGGAGCUGAAGAAAAAAAAAAAAAAAAUGAUGUGUGCAAAACAACAUACCGGACGUAUCACAUGACCCUUGUUGUUCCAUUUUUAUUUUUAUUUCAAAAUGCGCACAUUGGUUCCAGCAUAGAUCCUUGUACGCUUGUCUAAAUAUUGCCAUUUGAUCCUUUUACCUCUCUCAGCCUUUUCUAUUUCUCGCGCAAGAUAAAAGAUUGGUGAUCCCUUUUUUGUGUGUGUGUGUGUGUGUCCAGUUUGGCAGUUGAAGGGAUCAGUUUUUAUUGUUUGAUUUCUGUCGGAUGGAUACCGGAUCAUUCGAACGGAAGACUAUUUUUUCAAUUGUACCCCUUUUCUGCAUGAUAUCCAUCGAGAAAUGUUGGACGUGUUUCACAUUCCCCAAUAGCAAAUUGGGCUUGUUUUAUUUUUUUUUAAAAAGGAAGAGAAGUUGUCGAAGCUUAGCUACAUUUCGUAUGGGUGAGAAGAGACUCAAAAUUGAUAUCGAUUGAGAUGAUCGUCUAGACGAACAACAGAAUCCACCAGACUCUUUUGUUUUCCAAAGCAUGGGAACACAAAGAAACUAGGCUAUACUCUAAUAAAGCAGUUACAACAAUUCAUCAACCAGUUUCUGUUUUUGUUUUGUUUCAUUUUUAUUUAUUCAAAUCUCAGGGUAUUUUUUUUUUGUGUGUAUUUUCUUUUUUUCUUUUCUUUCGUGCUUCUCGAUAACGAUCAUCGAGAGAAAAGCAAAAAGAAACAAAUGUUGUUGUUGUUACGCCGAGAAAGAAACAAGAAAUUCUUGCACAGUACGCAAUCAAAAAAACAUGUGUUUCACACGAAACUCCCAGUUACACGUUGAAUAAUAAUUGAAAAAAUAAUUCAUUCUCAUUUGUUGUUAUAAAUGGCGAGCAUACUCGGAAAAUUGGCACAGCUAUUAAAAACUGUACACACCAUAUCAUCAAUUGAAAUUGCAAGAAAAUCAAAUAUAAUAAACCCCAGGGCUUGGACAAAUGUUUUAGAGCUCAUAGCACAUGUUUUGUUGUUGCUGCCAAAUGACAUUAUACAAAAUAUACUUAGCGUACGAUCAAAAGGAAAGAAGUCAACAAAAAAAAGAAAUUGUUUAUGUCAUAAUAAUUGAUAAUAAUAUAAGGCCAAAGGUGUACAAGUAUAUAGUGAGCACAGCGCGAUAAAAUAAUCAAACAAACAAGAAAAAACGUAAGUCACCGAACGAAAUGAUGGAGAGGCACAUUGUAUACACACACACACGUGAAGGCUAUUUAAAUGGUCAAGAAGAAAACGUGUUUCUUUAACUCUCUUCAUUAACAAGGUGAGCAAAAAAAAAAAAUGCUAAAACAAUUCAAACAAAUUAGCAAAAGGACAGGUUUUGUUUUUUUUUUCUGUCGUGUCUCCUUUACUCGUCUCCAAAAACAAAUCGGUCACCGAAAACAAGGUGGUGUCUGUCGUGUCAGUUACGUAAUACUAUUGUCAACAGCGGAGGGGGGGGGUACGAAAGACUCGAUGGAUUUCAAAAUAUAGAAAAAAAAAAAAACCGACAAAGCAAAAACAAAAGAAUUGUUUUUUUUUUUUUUUCAAA
rnacentral:lncRNA from 1 species